AUGUGUGAGAGCCCCCGGCCCCCCUGGGUCUGCAGGGGAGGGGAGGGGGGUCCCGAGGGCAGGGAGAAGCUGCGGGAGCCGCCGGGGCUCCGGCCCCCGUCCCGCGCACUCCCGGCCGCCCCCGGGCGCGCUGCCAGCCGGACGCGCGGCCCCGCCCCCCGGCCCGCUCACCUGCUGCCAUGCUGGCGGGACGGGAGGGAGGCGGCGGCGGCGGGGAGGGGCGGGGGUCGCGGGCUCGGGACCGCGGGGGCCGCGGGCUCGGCCGGCCACGUGCUCCCCAGAGGCCGGAGAGCGGGCCUCGGACCCGGAACUGAGUCCGCUCGCAGCGCUCCCCGCUGCCCCCGCCGGCUCUCGCUGGGCCCGGACUCCGACCCCGGCGGGGGGGCACGGAAGAAACCAAUGCAGACGCCGCCCCCGCCCCCGCCCCCGCGAAAACCCCGAAAUCCCAAAUCCGGCCCCAGUCCCGCCCCCAUCCGGCCGGCUCCCGGCCCCGCCCCCGGCUCCUCCCUCACCUCGCGGCGCGCGGUCACGUGGGCUACCCGGGCCCGGCUCUGGGAGGGAUGCUCUGCUCCGGGGCUCGCAGCGUGGGCGCUCCCUCCGUCCGCGUCCGGGGCGGCGGGAACGGGGCGGGGCGGGGCGGGGGGCGGCCAAUCGCCUCCCCGCUCGGGCCUCAGUUGGCUCCUCUGCAAAAGGAAAGGGCGGGACCCCCGCCUCUCUUCAGUCAUUUCGGCUCCGAAGCCCUGGCCCGGGACCGACGAAACGUCAGGGCCGCAGGGGCCGCCUCCUGAUCCCCCGAAAUUCCUUAAUGUGGACCUUGUUCUCCCCAGAGAAGGCCGGGCCCGUGGGCUCCGUCCCCUGGGUUUGGGCCGCCCCCUGUCCCCGGGCCCCGCCCUCUGUCCCCGGGCCCCGCCCUCUGUCCCGCGCCCCGCCCCCUGUCCCCGGGCCCCGCCCUCUGUCCCCGGGCCCCGGACAGCUCCAGCAGCUGGCACUCAUGCGAGCCCGGCGCGGUGGCUGCCCAUCUGUCACCCUGCUCACUUAGGGGGGGACCGAGGGUUGCUCAGGCCGGAGUGGCUCGUGCACGGCCGGGGCCGUCAGCCUCUCCCGUACCCGAAGGCCGGCAUCGCGUCUGCCGUCCCCCGAGGCCGGUCGUCGGGCACUGAGCCACCCGGCCCGCAAAAGAACUAUGAACUUCCCUUCUGCUCGCUCCUGCCCCACACCCUGGGAACAUCCGCAGAAUUAAAAGCGGUGGUUUGGGGGUUUCCCUGUCGCACAGGCCGUUUGUGGAAUGGACAGAUUGUGGGCAGAACUGAUCCCCGGCAGGAAUGA
rnacentral:lncRNA from 1 species